CCACUUACCUCCCGCAACCACUACCACCCACGUUGUCCACAGUAUUCAGCUGUCUCAGGGAGGAUCACAAUUAUUCUAAUGGGACUGCAAAGAGUGAAGGACACAGCUUUUAACAUCAGAUUCGAAUCCUACAAUUUGGAACCCAUGGGCACUUCUAGAUUGGAUCUUGCAGAGAUUUUUUACAACAGAAAUAAUGGAAAGGCAAAAGAAAACAUUGAGUAAUAACCAACCCAAGCAAGUCCAGCCUCUUUCUGCAGAAGAUCUCCGUGGGUCUUUUUAUCCUUAAGAAGUUUUGGAGGCAAGGAAGAGCAGAAAUCACUCUCCGCAUUGGAUAGAUGAAGAAAGGAGCCUCAGAGAAGAGAUUCAGAGGUUCUCCUAAGGCCACUAACUAAUAAAUGAUGACAUGAGAGUAAACUGAAGACUUGCAGUGCCAGGGUUGGUGUGGUCCUCCCUGAUGGGGGCCUUGACCUGUGAGGCCAAGGACAACAAAGGAACAGCUGUCUCCUUGCCAUGGAAGUGGCCCAGUAACCAGAAGGACUCAACUGUCAGGGCUGCAAGAACUUCCCAAGGACCCAGCUCUCUGCUGGAGCUGCAAUCAAGAAAUUGAAACACCUGUGGAGCCCCACCUCGCUGAAGAACCAGCACACCUGUCGACCACUGUCUUUCCACCUGCAGAUCCAGGAAGAAAACCAAAGCAAGGAGUAGGGAGAGGCUGUCCUCGGAGAGGCUGUUCUAGGACUGUGCUGCUCCCCUGGGUGCGCAGCCCCUGUGUCUUCCUCCUUGCGUUACCACUUUCCCUGCCCAUGAACUGAAGGCUCUCUCCUCCCUCUCCCUCUCUGCAUCUUAAAGCUGAGCCCACUAACAUAAAGCCUGGACAACUUGAUCUGCAGUGAAAUCUUGAAGACAAAGUCUGGCCUCCUCAUUAGAAUCCACAUGUUAUUGAGCCUUACCCACUGGUGCUGGCCCUGGCACAGAGAAGGCAACUUAAUACGUUAAUACAACUUAAUAAACUUGUAGAAUGAAUGAAUAUUGUCUGGAAGACACACCAAGUCAAGGGUCGUUUGACAUCUAAUGUUCAAAAACUAUUUUGUGCACCUACCAUUUAGUGGGUACUAUCCUAUUUAUUUAGGACAUGCUGGUGAAGCAAACGGAUUCAUUCUCUGCCCUUGAUAUAUUUUAGCAGGGAAUACAAACAAGUAGUUGCCAUGCAUGUGAUGGUAUGAGAUCCAACAGAUGAAAAGCUCUUACCACCUCCAGGCUCUGUGUUGCACAGAAGCACAGCCUACACUAGAGUCUUCAGUUCCAGCUGACUUUGCAAUCUGGACUUUCCAACGUCUAGUGUGAGCUAAGAUUUGGCUGCCUUUCCCCACUUCCUGCCCCAUGUAGCAGGCCUCUUUUGGCCCUGGGUAUGGAGUAUUCCUACCUCUUGGCAUAAUUCCAGUCUUAUGUAGUGACACCUGCAUCGGUGAGUGGCUGUAGCAACUAUCUAGGCCUGUCUAGAAAUUAAAGCUCUAACUCUAAACUUUGAAAGUCAGGCAAGCAACAGCAGCCCUUCCCUUUCAGGCACCUACCAGCCAUCCUGCUGAAGAUAACCUGGAUUUGCAUCUUCUGGAUGGGAUAGAAGCUGUGACUAAUACUGAGCCAUCUAGGGCAGCAGCCCCCAACCUUUUUGACACCAGGAACUGGUUUCGUGGAAGACAAUUUUUCCACGGACUUGGGGUGAGGGGGAUGGUUUCAGGAUGAUUCAAGCACAUUACAUUUAUUGUGCACUUUAUUCUAUUAUUGUUACAUUGUAAUAUGUAAUGAAAUACUUAUUCAACUCACCAUAAUGUAGAAUCAGUGAAUCAGUAGGAGCCCUGAGCUUGUUCUCCUGCAACCAGACGGUCCCAUCUGGGGGUGAUGGGAGACAGUGACAGAUCAUCAGACAUUAGGUUCUCAUGAGGUGUGUGCAACCUAGAUCUCUCACAUGCACAGUUCUCAAUAGAGUUCGUGCUCCUAUGAGAAUCUGAUGCUGCUGCUGAUGUGGCAGGAGGUGAAACUCAGGUGGUAACGUGAGCAAUGGGGAGUAGCUGUAAAUACAGAUGAAGCUUCGCUCACUCACCUAGCACUUGCCUCCUGCUGUGAAGCCCAGUUUGUAACAGGCCACAGCCAUGGACUAACUAAAAUUAUCCCUAAGUGAAGGUGAGGAUUUCAAAGGCCAAUACAAUGUGUUGAAUGCGGAAGCACUGCAGGGUCUGGAUGCUCAAAUAAUUGUUCUUUUUCUCAAUUUUGGAAAGAAAGUUGUCAAUCUAAAAAGAGCGGUGUUGAAGAACCUGCUCAUUAGAUUAGCCAUGCUUGGCUAAAGGGGAAUGUUAUAGUACUUUCUUUUUUUUCUUGAGUAAAAUCACACUCUGGAAAUGGUUGAGUUGCAGAAACAUCUGGGGGCACUUUAUGACGUUAAUAAGAAGUUUGGCCCUUGAUGCAAGGUUAAUUUAUUUGGGAUGAAACCAUAGCUAGUUCAACUUCCUAUCAUGCUCUCCAGAAAAACCCAUGGCCUGGAAUCCUCCAGGCAAAGCUCAUUUACAUUUUUUAUCUCCCUAUAGUCAAUUCUGAAAUUCCAGUGGUCAUGUUCAGACAUAACUUACUAGAAGAGUCAUUUCAUUCAGAAACGUCUUAAUUUUAAAUGACAUCUUGAGUCUCCAAAUCUGUGCUAUGGAGACUUCUUUAUUUUGAGGUGCUCAUUCUGGUUGAGUAUAUUUAGUGUUUAAGAAAGCAAUUCAAAAGUUAAAAACUAUGUUUGUUUGUUUUUUUUCAUUGAGUCCCUCUGUCUGGACAAGGAAGACUCCUUCUAAUACCCUUUCUGGUGCUGCAGACUUUCAAUUUCUACUUACAGUGUUUGUGGAUGGCAAUGGAAAAUGUAUUUCCUGCUGAGCCUGAACUGGAAAUAAAAUUUUGGA
rnacentral:lncRNA from 1 species